CAAAGCUUUUGUCCACACUAGAUACAAAGGAUAGGCAAUUGCCUAAGGUUGCCUGGACCCAAAGACCCAGGUGGGUAAAGUUACGGAACUUUUUUAAUUGAGGUCCAAAGUUGGGGUAGGGUGACCCAACC